AUUGAUGUUUUUUCGGCAUGGCUCGAAAAAGAUAAGUCCUUGUGUUUCUCUACCUACUCCAAGUCUCUGCAUUAGGUUGUCGCAAUGGCAAGUGUAUCAAAGAAAUUAGAAUGCAAGGACUUACACGGCUAUUUAAAAACUUUACCUAGUACCAUACUCGACAAACUUUACAACCACCCUGCUACCUGUCUUGCUGUGUUUAGGCAGCUUCCUCAACUUUCCAAGCAUUAUGUAAUGCGAAUGCUCUUUAUCGAGCAACCGGUAUCCCAAUCAGCUGUAGGACUCUGGGUUACAAAUAAACAUAAUGAGGAACACAAAUUUGCUGCGAAAGUUCUCUCAGAGCUGAGGGUUUGGCACGAACAGCAGAUGCAGGGAGGCCUCCUGGGAUGGGUUUUGAAUGGCACUUUUAGAUCAAACAUGAAAGUUGCUCUCCUGGGAGGGGGAAUGGACUCGCAGUUUACUGGGGGACCUCUGCCUCCUGAUAAACAUGCCAAAGAUGUUCCCUUUCUUGAUAAAUAUGCUCUUGAGAGAUGGGAGUGUGUUCUUCAUUUUAUGGUGGGUUCUACUGAAGGAACAGAGGGAGUCAGUAAGGACAUCAUUGACGUUCUGCUCAAUGCAGGCCUCAUGACAAUGGAUGGUGUGGACCCCAUGCCCUCCAUCACCCCAGCAGGUUUCCAGUUCUUGCUCAUGGACAUAGGGUCCCAAGUUUGGUAUUUUAUGCUGCAGUACUUGGAUACAGUUGAGGCUCGUGGUAUGGACCUUAUAGACUGUUUAUCGUUUUUGUUUCAACUUAGUUUUUCAACACUUGGAAAGGUAUGCCAAUGAUGAAAGACUAUUCCACAGAAAAUAUGAAUGAAGGACAACAAAGAUUUUUGCAACAUUUGAGAGAAUUUGGACUUGUGUAUCAAAGGAAGAGGAAAAUCCAGCGGUACUAUCCCACCAGACUGGCAAUCAAUCUAGCCUCCGGACAGUCAGACUUCACCUCUGUCGGGAAGAACACGGGUUAUCUGAUGGUGGAGACCAACUACAGGGUGUAUGCCUACACAGAUUCUCCCCUGCAAGUGGCUUUGGUUGCCUUGUUUUGUGAAAUGUUGUACAGGUUUCCGACGUUUUCUGUGGGGAACUUGACUCGUGUUAGUGUACGAGAUGCAUUAAUCCGAGGAAUUACAGCAGAUCAGAUAAUAUCCUUUUUAAAAACCCAUGCUCAUCCAAAAAUGACCAAAAAUACUCCAGUCAUUCCAUCAACAGUGACUGACCAGAUCAGACUAUGGGAAUUGGAGCGUGACCGCUUUAAAUUCAUGGAAGGCGUCCUAUAUGACCAGUUUCUGUCGCAGAACGACUUUGAGCUGCUGAGGGAUUAUGCCAAGGAUUUGGGAGUUCUACUCUGGGACAAUGCAAUCAAGAGAGUAAUGGUUGUUACAAAGGGUGGCCAUGACGACGUGAAGCGCUACUGGAAGAGACAGAAGCAGUCCAACUCCUGAAAGGUCCACAUCCUGGAGUUGAUUUGGACUGCAGCCAUCUUGGAAAUCCAGACAGUGAUUCAGAUAAAUCCUGUCUGACCAGCAGCAGCAGACAGUUACCAUGGUAACGAAGCCCUGCUGUGAUUGGACAGAGAGAAAAUCAAGCAAACUUAGUGGCAGUUCUCUCCCAAGGAGAGAAAGAAAGCAGAAUCAAGCCUUGUUAGUGACUGGUGCUGUGCAAUACCUCAAAUAUUACCAUUGUUAUAGACAGAUUGAGUUUACAAAACUUUUUUUUACACAUUUAUAUGAAAAAAGCAAUAAAAUUGUUUGUCUCAAGAU
rnacentral:misc_RNA from 1 species